rnacentral:rRNA from 1 species
GGCUCAGGAUGAACGCUAGCGGCAGGCUUAACACAUGCAAGUCGAGGGGUAACAGAGGUAGCUUGCUACUUGCUGACGACCGGCGCACGGGUGCGUAACGCGUAUACAAUCUACCUUUUGCUGAGGGAUAGCCCAGAGAAAUUUGGAUUAAUACCUCAUAGUAUAUAUGAAUCACAUGGUUUAUAUAUUAAAGGUUACGGCAGAAGAUGAGUAUGCGUUCUAUUAGCUAGAUGGUGUGGUAACGGCACACCAUGGCAACGAUAGAUAGGGGCCCUGAGAGGGGGAUCCCCCACACUGGUACUGAGACACGGACCAGACUCCUACGGGAGGCAGCAGUGAGGAAUAUUGGACAAUGGAGGCAACUCUGAUCCAGCCAUGCCGCGUGCAGGAAGACUGCCCUAUGGGUUGUAAACUGCUUUUAUACAGGAAGAAACACUCCCUCGUGAGGGAGCUUGACGGUACUGUAAGAAUAAGGAUCGGCUAACUCCGUGCCAGCAGCCGCGGUAAUACGGAGGAUCCAAGCGUUAUCCGGAAUCAUUGGGUUUAAAGGGUCCGUAGGUGGAUAAUUAAGUCAGAGGUGAAAGUCUGCAGCUCAACUGUAGAAUUGCCUUUGAUACUGGUUAUCUUGAAUUAUUAUGAAGUAGUUAGAAUAUGUAGUGUAGCGGUGAAAUGCAUAGAUAUUACAUAGAAUACCAAUUGCGAAGGCAGAUCACUAACAAUAUAUUGACACUGAUGGACGAAAGCGUGGGGAGCGAACAGGAUUAGAUACCCUGGUAGUCCACGCCGUAAACGAUGGUCACUAGCUGUUCGGACUUCGGUCUGAGUGGCUAAGCGAAAGUGAUAAGUGACCCACCUGGGGAGUACGUUCGCAAGAAUGAAACUCAAAGGAAUUGACGGGGGCCCGCACAAGCGGUGGAGCAUGUGGUUUAA